rnacentral:lncRNA from 1 species
UGGGUCCAGGGUAGUUUGGACGUCUUUUUAGCCAGCAAUCUUCAUGAUGUAUUAUUGUCUAUCUUCCCUCCACCUUUUGUUCCUUUUUUUUUUUUUUUUUGGUAGAUCUCACUGAUGGGCCUGAGUUAAUCCUGUACCACCACCACCACCACCAUCAUCAUCAUUUCUCUCCCUUGAAGCCCUCUGUGGAACAAGACACAUCUCAAAGCUUCUGGCUGUUUCUUCUGCAUCUCAGAACUAAUUUCAGAAAUCACUGGUGCACCAAGUUCACCAAAUCUCUGGGGAGAGGAGACGCCAACCUGAGGAGCAACGUUGGUUGUAAAGAGGAUGGAUCCCUGCCAGUGGAAGGCCGAAGCCAGCCCUUCUGCCUUUCUUGAAGCUAACCUUGGCUUCCCAGACAAGCCACUGCUAGGAUGUUUUAUCUGAGGCAAGUGCAGUCCUGAGCAAAGGCAAACUCAUUCCUGGGAUUUAGGGGAGGAACCUGAGAAAUUUCCUUAAUAGGA